rnacentral:rRNA from 1 species
GACGAACGCUGGCGGCGGGCUUAACACAUGCAAGUCGAACGGAAAGGCCCUGCUUGUGUGGGGUGCUCGAGUGGCGAACGGGUGAGUAACACGGGAGUAACCUGCCCUGGACGGGGGGAUAACUGCAGGAAACUGGGGCUAAUACCGGAUAGGAGCGCGUGCUGCAGGGGGGGGGUUGGAAAGUUUCGGCGGUGGGGGAUGUAGUCGCGGCUUAUCAGCUUGUUGGUGGGGUAGUGGCUUACCAAGGCUUUGACGGGUAGCCGGCCUGAGAGGGUGACCGGCCACAUUGGGACUGAGAUACGGACCAGACUCCUACGGGAGGCAGCAGUGGGGAAUAUUGCCCAAUGGGCGGACGCCUGAUGCAGCAACGCCGCGUGCGGGAUGACGGCCUUCGGGUUGUAAACCGCUUUCGCCUGUGACGAAGCGUGAGUGACGGUACUGGGUAAAGAAGCACCGGCUAACUACGUG